rnacentral:rRNA from 1 species
UACGUAGGGUGCAAGCGUUAUCCGGAAUUAUUGGGCGUAAAGAGCUCGUAGGCGGUUUGUCGCGUCUGCUGUGAAAACUGGGGGCUCAACCCCCAGCCCUGCAGUGGGUACGGGCAGACUAGAGUGCGGUAGAGGAGAGUGGAAUUCCCGGUGUAGCAGUGAAAUGCGUAGAGAUCGGGAGGAACAUCAGUUGCGAAGGCGGCUCUCUGGACCAGCACUGACACUGAGGCACGAAAGCGUGGGGAGCAAACAGG